UGUAAACAUCCCCGACUGGAAGCUGUGUCUGCGCAGAGCUUUCAGUCUGAUGUUUGCA
rnacentral:pre_miRNA from 12 species